UGGGGAAUAUUGCACAAUGGGCGCAAGCCUGAUGCAGCCAUGCCGCGUGUGUGAAGAAGGCCUUCGGGUUGUAAAGCACUUUCAGCGAGGAGGAAGGUGGUGAGCUUAAUACGCUCAUCAAUUGACGUUACUCGCAGAAGAAGCACCGGCUAACUCCGUGCCAGCAGCCGCGGUAAUACGGAGGGUGCAAGCGUUAAUCGGAAUUACUGGGCGUAAAGCGCACGCAGGCGGUUUGUUAAGUCAGAUGUGAAAUCCCCGGGCUCAACCUGGGAACUGCAUUUGAAACUGGCAAGCUAGAGUCUCGUAGAGGGGGGCUAGAAUUCCAGGUGUAGCGGUGAAAUGCGUAGAGAUCUGGAGGAAUACCGGUGGCGAAGGCGGCCCCCCUGGACGAAGACUGACGCUCAGGUGCGAAAAGGCGUGGGGGCAGC
rnacentral:rRNA from 1 species